rnacentral:rRNA from 1 species
GGAUGAGCUGUGCCUAGGGGUGAAAGGCCAAUCAAACUUGGAAAUAGCUGGUUCUCUGCGAAAUCUAUUUAGGUAGAGCGUCAAUCGAAUACUCCGGGGGGUAGAGCACUGGAUGGGCUAUGGGGUCCCAACGACUUACUGAUCCUAACCAAACUCCGAAUACCCGGAAGUAAUAAUUGGCAGACACACUGCGGGUGCUAACGUCCGUAGUGGAGAGGGCAACAACCCUGACCUCCAGUUAAGGUCCCCAAGUCAUGGCUAAGUGGGAAAGGAUGUGAGAAUCCCAAAACAACCAGGAUGUUGGCUUAGAAGCAGCCAUCAUUUAAAGAAAGCGUAACAGCUCACUGGUCUAAAUAAGGGUUCUUGCGCCGAAAAUGUAACGGGGCUAAAGCCAUGCACCGAAACUGAGGGCACUAUUUAUAGUGCGGUAGCAGAGCGUUCUGUAAGCCUGCGAA